rnacentral:rRNA from 1 species
UACGGAGGGGGCUAGCGUUGUUCGGAAUUACUGGGCGUAAAGCGCGCGUAGGCGGCUUUGUAAGUUAGAGGUGAAAGCCCGGGGCUCAACCCCGGAACUGCCUUUAAGACUGCAUCGCUUGAAUCCAGGAGAGGUGAGUGGAAUUCCGAGUGUAGAGGUGAAAUUCGUAGAUAUUCGGAAGAACAUCAGUGGCGAAGGCGGCUCACUGGCCUGGUAUUGACGCUGAGGUGCGAAAGCGUGGGGAGCAAACAGG